AUUUUGCGCUAUCAGUUUUUCAUUCUUUGGAACUUUGCUCUACUGUCGUAACUUGAAUUUUCGGUAUCUUGCAUUUUGAAACUUUG